rnacentral:lncRNA from 1 species
UGCAGGAAUCUUUAUGCCUUCUCUGGCCUAGCCUUGAAAAAUCCUUUACUUCUGCAGGGUUCUCCUCAUCCCAUGAGCUCCCCACGAGCACUCCGUGAGACAGCUAAGGUUUCUUUGAGAGCGACCAAAUGCAGCUGUGAUGCUCAGGAGUUAUCAACACACCAUUUCCAAAUCUCACAGAGGCCUGGAAAUGCAUCCACCGAGUCUGUACAUUUAACUGAAGUCUCAAGUAUGAAGAGAAAGAUCUGGGGUGACUGGUUCCAGAUCCUCCAUUGCACUGGAUGGUGCAUAGAACCAAGAGCUCCAGAUCAUCAGCAACUGAUUCUUGAGCUCUCUGUGGCUAUUCUGGAGAGGACAAUCUUUGGUCUACGACUCUUCUAUUUCCACUGAAAAGUGACAGUGACCACAGAUAAUGGUUCACAACUUUUUAUUGAUUGAUUUAUUUAAAAUCUCUCUCUCUCUCUCUCUCUCUCUCUCUCUCUCUCUCUCUCUCUCUCUCUCUCUCUCUCUCUGUUCACAGAAGCCAUAAG